UAGGGAAUCUUCGGCAAUGGGGGCAACCCUGACCGAGCAACGCCGCGUGAGUGAAGAAGGUUUUCGGAUCGUAAAGCUCUGUUGUAAGAGAAGAACGUGUGUGAGAGUGGAAAGUUCACACAGUGACGGUAACUUACCAGAAAGGGACGGCUAACUACGUGCCAGCAGCCGCGGUAAUACGUAGGUCCCGAGCGUUGUCCGGAUUUAUUGGGCGUAAAGCGAGCGCAGGCGGUUUAAUAAGUCUGAAGUUAAAGGCAGUGGCUUAACCAGUGUUCGCUGUGGAAACUGUUAAACUUGAGUGCAGAAGGGGAGAGUGGAAUUACAUGUGUAGCGGUGAAAUGCGUAGAUAUAUGGAGGAACACCGGUGGCGAAAGCGGCUCUCUGGUCUGUAACUGACGCUGAGGCUCGAAAGCGUGGGGAGCAAACAGG
rnacentral:rRNA from 1 species